rnacentral:rRNA from 1 species
GACGAACGCUGGCGGCGUGCCUAAUACAUGCAAGUCGAACGCAGUGGGGACGGGUGAGUAACACGUGGGUAACCUCCCAUCAGAGGGGAUAACACUUGGAAACAGGUGCUAAACCGAUAUUGGUGGAUGGACCAGCGGUGGUUUAGCUAGUUGGGGGGGUAACGGCUCACCAAGGCCACGAUGCAUAGCCGAUCUGAGAGGGGGAUCGGCCACACUGGGACUGAGACACGGCCCAGACUCCUACGGGAGGCAGCAGUAGGGAAUCUUCGGCAAUGGACGAAAGUCUGACCGAGCAACGCCGCGUGAAUGAAGAAGGUUUUCGGAUCGUAAAACUCUGUUGUUAGAGAAGCGGUAUCUAAACAGAAAGCAACGGCUAACUACGUGCCAGCAGCCGCGGUAAUUC